rnacentral:rRNA from 1 species
UACGGAGGGUGCGAGCGUUGUCCGGAAUCACUGGGCGUAAAGGGCGCGUAGGUGGCGCGGGCAGUCAACGGUGAAAGUUCGGGGCUCAACCCUGAAUCGGCCGUCGAUACUCCCGGGCUGGAGCACUGUAGAGGCUAAUGGAAUUCCGGGUGUAGCGGUGGAAUGCGUAGAGAUCCGGAAGAACACCGGUGGCGAAGGCGGUUAGCUGGGCAGUUGCUGACACUGAGGCGCGAAAGCGUGGGGAGCAAACAGG